GGGUUGUAUGAAAAGAGAGAAGGUUAGCACUCCCCUUGACAAGGAUGGAAGAGGCCCUUGGGCCUGACAACACACAUACAGUUAAGGCACUGCCACCUACAUCAUGGCAUCUAAACAUCUUUUUUUU
ensembl:snRNA